UACGGCCACAUGACGUUGAAGCCCCAGUUCCCGUACGAUCCCCGAAGUUAAGCAAGGUCGAGCUUAGUCAGUACUUAGAUGGGUGACUACAUGU